rnacentral:rRNA from 1 species
AACGAACGCUGGCGGCGUGGAUUAGGCAUGCAAGUCGAACGCGAAAGGGGAGCAAUCCCUGAGUAGAGUGGCGAACUGGUGAGUAACAGGUGGGCAACGUGCCUCAAAGUGGGGGACAACUCCGAGAAAUCGGAGCUAAUACCGCAUGUGGUGUCAAGGGCUUUGGCUCCUGACAUUAAAGGCGCAACCGCAAGGUUGUGGUCGCUUUGGGAU